AUCAAAACUUUCAACAACGGAUCUCUUGGUUCUGGCAUCGAUGAAGAACGCAGCGAAAUGCGAUAAGUAAUGUGAAUUGCAGAAUUCAGUGAAUCAUCGAAUCUUUGAACGCACAUUGCGCCCGCCAGUAUUCUGGCGGGCAUGCCUGUCCGAGCGU
rnacentral:rRNA from 2 species